rnacentral:rRNA from 1 species
GAUAAACGCUGGCGGCGCACAUAAGACAUGCAAGUCGAACGGACUUAACUCAUUCUUAUAGAUUGAGAGCGGUUAGUGGCGGACUGGUGAGUAACACGUAAGCAACCUGCCUAUCAGAGGGGAAUAACAGUGAGAAAUCAUUGCUAAUACCGCAUAAGCUAGUAAUAUCGCAUGAUAUAACUAGAAAAGGAGCAAUCCGCUGAUAGAUGGGCUUGCGUCUGAUUAGCUAGUUGGUGGGGUAACGGCCUACCAAGGCGACGAUCAGUAGCCGGACUGAGAGGUUGAACGGCCACAUUGGGACUGAGAUACGGCCCAG